UUGACAUCAUAAUAAGUGUAUUCUUAUUUCUAUAAUACUAGUUAGUGUAUAAAUGUUUUGAGUAAUUUAGAAAUCACUUACUUAGAAGAAAUAAAGUUGUUUAACAACAAUUUUAAAUACAAAAGUUGUACGAGUAUGUAUUGCGAUGUAAAACAGAAUGUGGAAAGUGUAAAUUGUAUAUAAAUCUUAAUGUUAGUUACGUCGUGUGGUGAAGUUAAUUAACAUGGUUUAUGGCGAGAAAUGUUGAUGGUUAGCAAAGAUAACUUAGUUAUCGCUCGGUAAGCGGGAAAUGGUUGACUAUGUGUUUGCUGGUGCCGAAAAGAUUCAUUUAAUUUUAUUGUAAACGUUAGUUCUGGAUAAAAAUGGUAUGUUUAGAUUUUUAUUCGAAUAGGGUUAUACUUCAUUAUAAUACCCUAGAAUCUAUUUUAUUUCUAUUACAGUCCCCUGAUAACAAAGAUAUAGUAAACAUUAUAAUGAACAGUAUAUAUCAACAGCUACAAGAUAAAGAUUUAUAUUUCAUGAAUGAAAUACAUGUUUUGUGAUGUCUAUCAAUAACCUGAAAUAUCUCAGGAACCUAUGAGAUUAUGAGCACAGAUAUCGUUCAGAUAUUUAGGUACUGUUCGCCGUGAGUAUACAAAUUAGUAUAUAUCGUUAUACAGUGUUGAAUAACAUUACCAAGUCUGUGGACGUUUUCAGCACUGCAGUCAUCGAAGCCUUAUAUGUGCAUGAAGUGUGGACGGAGCUACAAACACAACUCGACUCUGUGGACCCAUCAAAAGUACGAGUGUGGGAAAGAGCCCAGUUUCCAGUGUUCCUUCUGUCCGUACCGCGCUAAGAAGAAGAACAACUUAAAGGCUCAUGUCGUGAUGAAACACGCUGAUCAGUUCAGAGCCGAAAUUGUUGGCUAGAAAAGUGAUUAGACAUUCAGUUAAUGAUACCCUGACAUGAUGGCACAGUUCACCUGCAAGGUGUGCGGGAAGUCCUACAAGAACAGAACAAGCUUGUCGCGCCAUUGCAGGCACGAAUGUAAUGACGCAGAGCCGAAAUUCCAGUGCACUUUAUGCUCCUUCAAGACCAGAAGGAAGGACUCACUCAAGUACCACAUGAUUUUUAAGCACAAUACCAAUGCUUGAUGUGUCUGAUUUAUGUUGUUUCAAUUGUUGAGUGUGAAUAAACAUCUUUUUUCAUUUUA